CCCCUGCCUGGGUCACCAAAUGUUGGCACGGUUGCCAACAGUUUUCGUAUCCAAGUAGUCCAAGGGAC
ensembl:miRNA mir-8191 ncRNA